GACGAUUCGUCGAUGUUGUAUAACGUAUCGGUGAACAGUAGGAUGAAAAGUGGUCAGCUGACCGCAAGGCGAACUCGAGAGAAGAGGAAAAAAACACGGACGCACACAAGCCCGCAGGAGCGACGCCUUUCAAGGGUACCUCGAUGACUCUUGGCCUAUCGAUGAUCCUCGCUGUUCUCUGUCCCUCCUCGACGAGGCCAAUGAUCCAGGUCUGCCUGCGCUCAAUUCUGUCGUAAAUUUU